ensembl:lncRNA
AAUUUCUCAAAAUUGUUCCUCAAGAUACCUUCUUCUGCAGGUUUUAAAAAACAAUAUUAAACAUAGCAAUCUAAAAUCCAGCUAGUAAUGCUACUUCAGAAGUUUAAUAUUGCUUUUAAUUGGGGCUUUUAAAAAUAUAUAAUUGCAACAUUACAUUCAAUGUUCAGUGAUUUUUUUUAAGACAGUGGUUUAGGCAUGCUAAAGGUUUGCUAGAAAAUGAAAUUUACCUAGUCAUUUUAAAUAAGAGAAUCUUCUCCUGCAACUUUUAAAAUAUCCCAGUAGCCCCAGAAAUCAGCACUUACUCUGGGUUUGGAGCUAUGGUUCAAGUCUAAGACAACCAAUAUGUUCAAGUUUUGUGGAGAAGGAAGAAGCGGCAUUGAGCAUAAUGUAACUGUAGGUCAUCUCUCCCACUUGUUAUUGCAUCUUUGCUCAUUUCACUUGUGGCGCUGCGUUAGGCUGUCCAAAGCAAUCACCAAAAAUACAAGUGAACUACAUCUUACAAGAGUUACUAAGAGAAAACAUUCAUCUAAUGUUCAACAGUGAAUUUUAAGGAUUUAAAUCCUGUCUUAAUGAUGACACUAGGGCUAAAAUUCAUGGCUGGCUUCAUAAAGCACAUCUCACUUGAUUUCUGAAUUUUUCAUGCCCCUUCUCAUUUCUUACAAGAACAUCCAGAUAAGUUAGAAUAGUGGCAACUUGCUUGAUCUGUUAGCUGACAUUCUUGUUAAUAUUUCAAGUAUGGAAUAUAAGGGCUUUCUGUGUGUCCUGGCUCACAGGAAAACUGAAAACUGCCAAGGAAAGGAACAUCAUUAUACUUGAGAUAGAUUGACUACAUUAGGGAAAAUGAUUUCUGGAAAUUUGCUAUGAAUGAUUAUUUUUAUGUUUCUACCUUCUUUAAUAUAGGAAUCAGAUCCACAUGCCAUUUAAAACAAAUUUAUUUUUAUUAUAUUCUUUACAAAUCAUAAUUUUUACCUAAAAUUAUGGAAUAUGCAUGUGAAGCACACAUGUAUACUAUAUAAAUUCAACUACUGAAUUUUUCCUGUUUCAUUUCUAAAAGACUGAACUCAUGGUGAACUUAAAGAAGUCAGCUACCAUGAAAAUAAGGCUAUUAGAACUGAUUUCAUACAGUAGAGAUGAUUUGUGCAUUCUCCAUAACAAUGUUUUCUUUCACAAUAGGACCACAGACAAAUAUUUAUGUAAAUAGAUAUUUUUGUGUGAUAUUUUGUGGUACAUAUAACUUUUUUUUAGUGUUUCACAGCAUUAUUAUUUCAUUUAAUUUGUAUGGAAUAAAGUUUUUAGGUCCAAGUAGACUUGAAUUAAUGUCCUGAUUGUCAGUAUUAUUGAAAAUUCUGUCAACUGUACUGUUAUUCAUCCGUCCCAUAGUUUAGAACAUGACCUGGCUAUCUGGCAUUGUUGCAAGUGCCUUAAAUUCAUGGCAUCCUAUUAAAAAAACAAAUUUGGUGUUAUGCUGCAUGACAAAGACAAACACACCUCAAAACGUUGUCCUUUCUUAGCUUGCUGCGUUUUACAGUUCUUUCUGCUGACAAUUUAUAAGCCUUUAUUAUAUAAUAUUGAUGAAUUACAGAAAUGAUGAAGUUGUUCUCUUAUUUCUGUUCAAUGUACCAGAGCUGUGUAUCUGUUAAUGAGAUACAGCGUCAUUUCUGUGAAAUGUAUAAAUGUAUGUGCAGGUCAAAUUAAUAUAUGACAUACUAUCAGUCUGUAUACAGGUAUUCCUGUUUUGCUAAGUUGUGCAGAUUCAGUUUAAAAAAAAAAUUAGUGCAGUCAAGUUAUGAAAUCUCCUUUUUUAGAUUCUGUGAAAAACCAUCCAACUCAAAAGAAAAAUUGGAAAAUGACUGCUGACCAAGCCUCAUCAUGAAACCAAUAAUGAACAAAUUGCACCACUCAACAAAACAGGAUGCUUCCUCUGAGUUCUUGUAUAUGCAAAUCACUUACAAGGCAAGUUUUCAACAGACCUAGAAAGCUAAACGUUGACCGUGUGUUGUUAGCCCUCCUCUUUAUCUGCCCUUGCAUCAACAGACAGAGCUCUGGGACAUGACAGUGACUCAGAGGUUUGGACUUCCGAGUAAAGGGACAUUUCUUGAAGCAUCAUCUAUCAAAUUUAUUUCAGUGUAUGAUGUUUUUACAACUGGUCGGUUCUUUUGUAUUCUUACAGCUAUGGUUAUUUGAUUGUCCUCUUACAAUUUGUUCUACAUGAAAGAGUCCUUUGUUAGUCAGAAUGCAACAACUGUCAUCCGGUGGUCACUGACCACUUGCACUCUUUUGAUGUAGAUUAAAAACUUUUUCAUAAACUUAACCUGCUUUGAUUUGCUCUGUAUUUUUCCUGCAGCUGUAAUUGCCGAG